rnacentral:lncRNA from 1 species
UCUAAGCUGCCAGUCUGUGGGGCUUUGUCAUGGCAGCCCUAGGACGCUGAUUACAUGUUUCCACCCCAACCCUGGCUUGCCUCCUGUGUUUCCUGCCUCUGUGAAAGAGACUCCCACCCAGCCAGCUGCCCAAGUCAGAAAGCGGCUUGAGAUUCAUGCUGCCUCCUCCUCUCUCACCACCACCAUCCGUGUUCCUCAGGACCUGUCAUCCCAGUGCACACAGCCAGGCCUCUGCGAGACUGUUUCAUAGAUGCUCAAGACACCAGCAAACCAGUGCCACCGAACAAGUAUGAGAAAAGAACAGGCUAGAUUAUGUUAUCCAGAACUUCACAACCAUCAGAUCUAGACAGAAGGAGGUGGACAGUGAACACAGAAAAGCUGUAAGGUGUCCUGUGACAGAUGUAUGUGGUGGACACAGCAGGACCCAGAGGAAGGAAGAAAGAAGCUGCUCUUGAAAAGACCCUCAAACCACGAUGCUCAAGGAAGUGUCGAGAGAUGAAGGAGAGGUGUUUGCCAGGCAGAGCAGGUGGGGAAGGAUAAUCUGAGGAGGAUAGAUAGCCAGUGCAAAGGCUCAGAGCACUUUUGGAGUGCUGCCAGACCAGGGUGGGUGCGGGGCCCUGGAGGGGGCGAGGCAGGAACCUGACCGAGGGGGCUUUGGAGGUCAUGUCCAUCUUCUGUGAUGUUACAGUGAGGGCUGCCCAGAAGGGUUCAGGAGAGUCACGUGGUGGAGUUUGUCACAUAAAAUAACCCUGGGGCCCGGUGUGGUGGCUCAUGCCUGUAAUCCCAGCAGUUUGAGAGGCUGAAGUGAGAGAAUCG